rnacentral:lncRNA from 1 species
AUGAAAGAAAAAAAAACCCUGGAUUUUUUUUUUUUUUUCCUCUCCGCUUCCCCCCUCUCCCCCUCCCCUAGAUGUGGCCUCUUGUUUAGCUUGUGGCGUGACCGUGAUGAAGAAAUGUUUCAGGGCGCCUGGCAGGGUGAUCUUUUUAUGUAAUGAGUCAGGAUUUUGCCAACGGAAGGAGCCGGCUCGGAGCGAGGACCGGAGGUUGUCUCCUUUCAAGAACGGGGACCUGCCCGGUGAGCGGCUCCCUGCGCGCGGGAUCCAUUCCCGUUCCCAUUCCCGUUCCCGGCUCGCCGGGGCACCGCCGCGGGCACUGACAAGUAUGUAAACAUUGCUGUUCAAGAGUAAAGAAGAUUCUAAUGGCCUCAGGGUACAGACUCCAGGUGGAUUCUCUUCCACACUGCGGCCCUCCCUGUCUCUUAAGCAGCUAAUUGCUUGCCCCUUAACCUGUACUUCUGACUAUCCCCUUAAAUGCUUCUGGUACCCUUCUGUCAUCAUGACUGAAGCUCUGUCCUCAAUCAGGCCAUGCCAGUUCUUUAGGAUAUACAGUUAAUAACUCACUCCAACAUUUGGAUAUAACACCAUGUGAUUUACCUGAAUCACCUCAACGAGAGAUGAAGGCUCCAUUCGACUGUUACCAGGUUGUUGUACAUAUUCUGAGGACUACAUUUAAAAUUGGUUUGGAUACUCAAGAUGAAAGAGAUUUAAGUAUUUAGUUCCAAGGUCGUGAGUCUUACGGAAGAGAAGUCUACGGAUUCUGGAGAGCAGAAGAGUUCAGUUACUAAUUUUCUCUUGCAUCACUAACAGCAAAUCUUCUUUCCCACAUUUUAGUGUGAGAAUGUGAUGAUAGAGCUGAUAUUAAACAAUUUAAUUAUAGUACUUCUGGGAGUAUUCUAAGGUUAGAAAUGCAACAUUUAACAUCUUGAAAUUAUUUUUUCCCUUUGCAAUGCAAGUUCACAAUCAUUUAAAAACCCAUUAAUUUUGACAUACCUUCAAACAGGUUAUUCCAUGUUUAAUGGACAGUGGUUCCCACUCUAGUGUAACUAUAAUAUAAUGAAGCCUUCUUAAUAUUCCACUCUUCCACAAAAAUGGUUCUGAAUUUGCUGAUUUGUAGAAUUAUUUUGUUUUCACCCCUCCAAGGGAAACACAUAGAAAUUUAAAUCUUAUGACAAUAGGCUUGCUUGUCUUGGUUACAGUUCACAAAUAUCUUGAAAAUAGUCCAUGGAACAAAAAGGUCUGCUCAAGAGGAUGACAAUAAAUUGUUAUAUUAGGAAGAAGGAAAACAAAGAUUUCACUCAAACCAUUUCAGACGCUAAUAAAUAAAAACAAACCAGU